UCGAGAAUCUUCCGCAAUGGACGAAAGUCUGACGGAGCGACGCCGCGUGAUUGAUGAAGCAAUUCGUUGUGUAAAGAUCUUUUAUGAGGGAAGAAGUUUAUUGACUGUACCUCAUGAAUAAGGGGCUCCUAAUCUCGUGCCAGCAGGAGCGGUAAUACGAGAGCCCCGAGCGUUAUCCGGAAUUAUUGGGCGUAAAGGGUGCGUAGGUGGUUGUAUUAGUCGUUUGUCAAAUCUUUGGGCUUAACCCAAAGACCGCGAGCGAAACGGUACAACUAGAGAAUGUGAAAGGUAUAGGGAACUCAUGGUGUAGGGGUGAAAUCCGUUGAUAUCAUGGGGAACACCAAAAGCGAAGGCACUAUACUAGCACAUAUCUGACACUCAAGCACGAAAGCAUGGGUAG
rnacentral:rRNA from 1 species